CCUACGGGUGGCUGCAGUGAGGAAUAUUGCGCAAUGGGGGCAACCCUGACGCAGCGACGCCGCGUGAGUGAGGAAGGCCUUCGGGUCGUAAAGCUCUGUCAAAGGGGAAGAAGUGCAUGAUGGUUAAUAUCUGUCGUGUUUGACGGUACCCUUAAAGGAAGCACCGGCUAACUCCGUGCCAGCAGCCGCGGUAAUACGGAGGGUGCAAGCGUUGUUCGGAAUCACUGGGCGUAACGGGCGCGCAGGCGGUUUGAAUAGUCAGAUGUGAAAGCCCACGGCGUAACCGUGGAAGUGCAUUUGAAACUGUCAGACUUGAGUACCAGAGGGGAAAGUGGAAUUCCCGGUGUAGAGGUGAAAUUCGUAGAUAUCGGGAGGAAUACCGGUGGCGAAGGCGACUUUCUGGCUGGAUACUGACGCUGAGGCGCGAAAGCGUGGGGAGCAAACAGGAUUAGAUACCCUGGUAGUC
rnacentral:rRNA from 1 species